rnacentral:rRNA from 1 species
AUUGAACGCUGGCGGCAUGCUUUACACAUGCAAGUCGAACGGUAACAGGUCUUCGGCUGCUGACGAGUGGCGAACGGGUGCGUAAUACAUCGGAACGCGCCUAGAUGUGGGGGUUAACUAGUCGAAAGAGUAGCUAAUACAGCAUAAGAUCUACGACUGAAUGCGGGGGAAAUUCGGGCAUUGUGCUACUUUAGCGGCUGAUGGCAGAUUAGGUAGUUGGUGGGGUAAAGGCGUACCAAGGCCGCGAUCUGUAGCUGGUCUGAGAGGACGAUCAGCCACACUGGGACUGAGACACGGCCCAGACUCCUACGGGAGGCAGCAGUGGGGAAUUUUGGACAAUGGGCGAAAGCCUGAUCCAGCAAUGCCGCGUGCAUGAUGAAGGCCUUCGGGUUGUAAACUGCUUUUGUACGGAAAGAAAAGCCGGGGGCUAAUAUCCCCGGGUCAUGACGGUACCGAAAGAAUAAGCACCGGCUAACUACGUG